AUUGAACGCUGGCGGCAGGCUUCACACAUGCAAGUCGAGCGAGCGGUGGACGGGUGAGUUAUGUCUGGGAAACUGCCUGAUGGAGGGGGCUAACUCCUGGAAACGGUAGCCUACCCCGCAUACCAUCAGAUGUGCCCAGAUGGGAUGAGCUAGUAGGUGGGGUAAUGGCUCACCUAGGCGACGAUCCCUAGCUGGGCUGAGAGGCUGACCAGCCACACUGGAACUGAGACACGGGCCAGACGCCUACGGGAGGCAGCAGUGGGGAAUAUUGCACAAUGGGCGCAAGCCUGAUGCAGCCAUGCCGCGUGUGUGAAGAAGGCCUUCGGGUUGUAAAGCACUUUCAGCGAGGAGGCGGUACUCGCAGAAGAAGCACCGGCUAACUCCGUGCCAGCAGCCGCGGUAAUUC
rnacentral:rRNA from 1 species